rnacentral:rRNA from 1 species
GAUGAACGCUGGCGGCGUGCCUAAUACAUGCAAGUCGAGCGAACAGACGAGGCGCUUGCUCCUCUGACGUUAGCGGCGGACGGGUGAGUAACACGUGGAUAACCUACCUAUAAGACUGGGAUAACUUCGGGAAACCGGAGCUAAUACCGGAUAAUAUAUUGAACCGCAUGGUUCAAUAGUGAAAGACGGUUUUGCUGUCACUUAUAGAUGGAUCCGCGCCGCAUUAGCUAGUUGGUAAGGUAACGGCCUACCAAGGCAACGAUGCGUAGCCGACCUGAGAGGGUGGUCGGCCGCCCUGGAGCUUGGCCACGGUCCAGGCUCCUGCGGGACGGCGCAGUAGGGAACGUUCCGCAAUGGGGGAGAGUAUUGCGGAGCAACGCCGCGUGUGUGAUGACGGUCCUGCGAUCGUAAUACUCUGUUAUUAGUGAAGAACAAAUGUGUAAGUAACUGUGCACGUCUUGACGGUACCUAGUCAGAAAGCCACGGCUAACUACGUG